AUCAAUCAUACUACUAUGGCCACAGACUCUCGAACUUAACCUCUCAAAUUUCAUAGGAUUACUCAUUUCUACCAAAGUCGAUAGAUCCCAUCUUGAUGCAUACCCUACUCUUAUAGUGGACCAACUGUCAUCAACAUCCACUAUAAGUGCUCAUUGAAACUCAUGUUUAUGUGUUAGUCAAACUCCAGCAGUCUCAUUGUGAGCAGUCGUACCA
rnacentral:lncRNA from 1 species